rnacentral:lncRNA from 10 species
UGACAAGAUAAAUGAGGCCCUAUCAGCCAGCAAUAAGUACCACACUGAGCACUGAGACAGGGUAAUGAGAUCUGGCAUUGCUGGGUGGCUGCUUUCCAUUGGAUGGUCAGGGAGGCUUCUUGGAGGAACAGGAUUUAACUUGAGGCCAAAACGGCACAAGGGUAGAGCCAUAUAAAACUAAGGAGAAACCAUUUUAGGAUGAGGGAACAAACCCUGAAGGUGUGAACAAGCUCGGUGCAUCUAGACAUGUAAGGAAGGUUCCAGCAUGUGAAGGAGCGAGGACGGAGAAGGGUCCGGUGAGGUCUUACAGCAACAGAGGGUCCAGCCACAUGAGGCUGAGCAGCCAAGUGAUCUGCCUAGGCCAGCUCCCCUUCAUCUUCUGCCAUGAGUGGAAGCAGCCUGAGGCCCUCACCAGAAGCAGAUGUUGGCACUAUGCUUCUUAGACAGCCUGCAAAACUCUGGGAAAGCGGAAAUCUGGAGAACUAAAAUAUCUUGCUGAAGAUCACAAUGCAGUAAAGCAUAGGGCAAGUUUCCAACUCGAACAUCACCCCAGAACACUUCCUUUUAAACAUAAAUUAUGUUGCUAACUUUUUUAUUGUUACUUAGCAGGCAGAUUUCAAACUGAUACAAAUGUUGAAAAUGAUACAAAAUGUUUUCCCACCUUAAAGGCAUUCUGAAACCUAGCACAUAACAUCUGUCACUGAAGUCCAUAGUUUCCAAUGCCAUGAUUGGAUAAAGACCCUAUUGAGACUCAUGUGUUUGUCUCUCACUGCUUAAAACACUCAUGUGUUUUAAGCAACAUGACAAGCACAAAAGAGAACAAGUACUGCUCCUGCUCUCCAGGAAGUUACCAUAAAAUAAAGGGGAUAAGGUGCCUUCCAAAGAAAAAACAAAUACUAGGAGAGGUCAGAGGAGAAGAGAGAUUAUUCCAGAAGGAGAGACUGAGGCAGAUUUCAGGAGGGAAGAAUAUAAGAGUCCCAAAAGAAGAAACAGGAACCCAGGUUAGAGAGCAAUGGGCAAGGGGUAGGAGGUGAGACUAAACUCACAAGGAAGUUGCUUCAAAACAAUAGUGCCCCAAAUGCCAAGCUGAUGGGUUGGACCCAUUUAGGAAAAACCCACAAAGUCCACAGGAGAGCAGACUGCACUUCCAUGAGCUUCAAGCUGUAAACAGUAACCUCAAAUAAAACUUUUCCCGGAUCGGUAAUUUCCAUCCUGAACAAUGGCCAAGUCAAGGAAGCUGAGGAUCGAGCCCCCUACCGCAUGCCACAAAGAACCUCAAGGGACCCCAUGCUCUGGGGAGCUCGCAGGAGGACCAGCACAGAGGUGUGACUGCGUUGGGGCAGGGUGGCCACAUGUACAAUGUUGUACCUUCCAAUGUUCCUCCUUAGGCUGUGCUUAUGAAGUCCCAACAUGUCUUCUGGGCUGUGUUUUCAACCAAGAGAGUUAAUAAAAAGUGGGAUGGGCACCAACUAUGCCUCCAGAGACAUCAGGCAGAAUAUGCCACAGCGUGCCAUGUCCUCCUGCAAACAGUCAGAAAGAAAAGAUCUCUAAAAGCAGAUUGGAAGAGACUAUAUAUACAGAGCGAGUGCCGGUACAGAAGUUUUGCUGCAAAUACACCCUCUAAUCCCUUGCAACCCACUGCAAGCUCGAGAGACCAGUGCCCUUGGUAAAACAUAGGAGAGAUCAUUAAUUAAAGCCUAGGCCCUUUCUUUGAUCCUGAGGGAUAAGGCUUGGGAAAAUGCACAGUGAUAAAAGUGAACAUUUUAAAAGAGCAGAGUGAGUGUGAAUUCCCAAAGAGACCAUUCAUAUCAAGACCCAAGCCAUGAGAAAAUGCUACAAUGCCCUUGAUCAAUACUUUAUAGGCAUUUUGACCUCAGAUCUAAUCCCAUGAGGCUUAGACCAAGACCUUGCUUGAUGCAGACCUCUCUGACUGCUGAAAUUGGUCAGGAGCUCAGUGAUGAAAAUUUGGAAAGUCAAUGCUGAUACCUGAAGAAAGUCCCAUCAGAGAUCUGUGACCUGAAUCUUCAUAACUUUCACAGGCCCUUUCUAAAUGCCAAGGAGGAUGUGUGUGGAGAAGAAUAUGCCACCUAUGGCAUCCCAAUAUGCCUGUGCCCGCCUGCUCUUCAACAAGGGAAUGAAACCUGGGUAUUCUCAUAGGUUUUUUAAAGCACUUGUCCACAUAUUUUAUUCCGCAAAUAACACAAUUUAAAAUUCAGCUAGAAUUUGCCAUUUUCUGUCAGGGUUGUGCAUUUCUUCCAGUCACCAUGACUUCCUGAGAUAGCCAAAACACAAAAUUUAAAUUGUGUUUAAAUUAAAUAAACACAAUUUAUGCUGAAGCUGACUUUACCCACUCUGUUCCAACAUUACUUAUCCUCAGCAUCUCUGAAUUCAAAUAUCAGCCAGGUGUGGUGGCUCAUACCUGUAAGCCCAGCACUUUGGCAAGCCAAGAUGGGAAGGUUGCUUGAGGAGUUGGAGACCAGCCUGGGCAACAUAGCAAGACCCCCAUCUCUACAAAAAAAUUAAAAAAUUAGCCAGGCAUGGUGGUAUGCACCUUUAGUCCUAGCUACUUGGGAGGCUGAGGUGAGAAGAUCACUUGAGCCCAGGAGCUUGAGGUGGCAGUGAGUCAUGAUCAUACCACUGCACUGUAGCCUGAGCAACAGAGCAAGACCCCAUCCCUUAAAAAAAAUACCUGCCCUCUGUACUUCAUAGCACCUGGGGCAUUUUGAACAGUUCUUCCUUCACCUGAGGUCAUUAUUUGAGAAUCCAAUUUUAGAGACUACAAUGCUCUCAUUACUUGGAUUGUAUCAUUUAAUCUUCCCAACAAUCCAGGAAGGGGAGUCUCUUAAUGAUUGUCCUUGAUUUCCAGUUAAAAAAUCUAGACCCAGAGGUAACCUUGUGAAGGUCACAGAGUUUCAGAGUUCUAAGAUCCCAUGCGAGAUUGCUGAACUUGAACUUGUUUCUUCUGAUCUCAUGUCAAUAAGUGACUUAGUCAACACCUGGGUAGAAAUCAUCACUAAAGUGAGAAAGCACAUGGUGAGGGGGAUGAAUCCUGUGCCCACAUGGUCCCUUUCACCUGCCCAAUCCUCAGGCCUCUCACCUGGGGUACCCCUCACACACAUGGCACUUUCCUGAACUCAUGGACAUUUCAGUUUGUAACGAUCCUCCUAAGAUUAUCUACUUUCACCUAUCCACAUUUGAACUAUACUUCUUUAGUGGAAAAAAAGAAAUAAAGCCAGUGCUGAGAAUGAUCAAACUCCAGAAAUAGUAGACUGCUGUAUAAUUUGUCUUGCGUGACACCAGAUCUUUCAAGGAACUGCAAGCUCAAGUGCACAGUUAAGCAAGAUCAAGAUCUACCUUUGUCUUUCAGAGCCUUCCCUUGGCGAGGUCAAGGAUAUCUGCUGUGAGCCUGGGCUGGCUGAACCAAAGGGCAAUGGAGGCGGCCAAGAAGCCCCAGCCAACUGCUCCCCUCCCCAACCCCCUUCUCCCUGGAGGUCCCUUCAGCUAGAAUUUGCCAUUUUCUGUCAGGGUUGUGCAUUUCUUCCAGUCACCAUGACUUCCUGAGAUAGCCAAAAGCAUUUGCUGUGAGCAGAGCCCCAUGGCUGGCUUUGCACAUCAAACAUUUCAGACAGCCAUAUAUUUCAUAGAAUACAAGGGGAAGAUAACACUGGACACACAGAACUUUCCAACAGCUUGAGAAAAUGUGGUGCCUGGUGACUGACUAAAUAUACAAUCGGACAACAGCCAGGCCAUAGCAAAAGAUGGAACUCUGAUCCACAAGGUGCAGCAACUUUCCCAGAAAACAAUACCCUUACCCACAAAAAGCAACCCCGGAAGCUGGCCUGCUCUAAAUCAGACCUGCUGGAAGCCAAAUUGCUCUCUAGUAACUAUCCAGGAAGCUAAAUAAUAACUUCUGUAACAAUUGACUCAAAAUGUUCAGGACUGGAUUAAUAACUGAUGGCUUCCCUAAUUUUUGUCCCCGAUUCCAACUUAGGACCCACCAGAGAAAGCCAAAUAUGGUCCCCUGACCAAGCACACAGGAUGUUCGCUUCUAGUGAGCCGCCUCCAGCUUCCCCGCAUUGAUAACCUCCAAUCAGGGCACACCUGAAGCCUUCGCCUUUUUCCACUAUAAAGCUCUCCCACUCGUCUGCCCACCUUUGAGUCUCUGCCAAAUUGCAAAUGAUGGUGUCUGACUCCCUUGCUGUAGCAAGCUCUGCAUAAUAGCUUGUGCUUAUUCUCUUUGGGUAGGUCUUCAUUUCUUUUCACACCAGAUAGGCAUCAUCUUUGAAAACAUCUUUACUGGGUCUCUUGUCUCCCUCCUGCAGCCACUGAUCUAAAUCACAGACUUUUUUAGAAAGAGGGAAAAUAGUAAAGAAAGAAAGCGAUUGAGUUGAUGCUCCCAGCCACUGUCUGUACCCUGAAUUUUGUUUUUCUGCCAUAUGUCAGGUGGCCUCUCCUGGACCAUCGUCACUGUUUCUCCUGCUUCCCUGCAGCUGCAGACACAGGAGCACUGUGUAGGUCUGGCCUUGAGCACCCACCCACCCAGUACAGAGCCAGCCCCUGCUGUUCUGAAUCAGUGCAGUGACCACUUAGAACACAGUGCCCAUGCCUCUGUGAUCUGAACUGCUCUUUCCAGUUCCAUACAAUGUUAAGAACCCACUUAAGAAUGUUUUAAUCAUUCAGUAGUUUUUCGUGGUAUAUAAUAAAAAAGUGAUUUAAAUACAAUCUAUUUUAUUUUAGAUUAUAUCAUUAGGGGUUAUUUUACAAAGUUACCUUUAAAUACUAUUGUAAAUAAAAUUAAUAACAAAUAAGCAAAAUUCUUACUUUUCCUUGUUUGACAAUU